UACCGUUUGAUCCUGGCUCAGAUUGAACGCUGGCGGCAGGCCUAACACAUGCAAGUCGAACGGUAACAGGAAGAAGNNNNNNUCUUUGCUGACGAGUGGCGGACGGGUGAGUAAUGUCUGGNNNACUGCCUGAUGGAGGGGGAUAACUACUGGAAACGGUAGCUAAUACCGCAUAACGUCGCAAGACCAAAAAGGGGGACCUUCGGGCCUCUUGCCAUCGGAUGUGCCCAGAUGGGAUUAGCUAGUAGGUGGGGUAACGGCUCACCUAGGCGACGAUCCCUAGCUGGUCUGAGAGGAUGACCAGCCACACUGGAACUGAGACACGGUCCAGACUCCUACGGGAGGCAGCAGUGGGGAAUAUUGCACAAUGGGCGCAAGCCUGAUGCAGCCAUGCCGCGUGUAUGAAGAAGGCCUUCGGGUUGUAAAGUACUUUCAGCGGGGAGGAAGGGAGUAAAGUUAAUACCUUUGCUCAUUGACGUUACCCGCAGAAGAAGCACCGGCUAACUCCGUGCCAGCAGCCGCGGUAAUACGGAGGGUGCAAGCGUUAAUCGGAAUUACUGGGCGUAAAGCGCACGCAGGCGGUUUGUUAAGUCAGAUGUGAAAUCCCCGGGCUCAACCUGGGAACUGCAUCUGAUACUGGCAAGCUUGAGUCUCGUA
rnacentral:rRNA from 1 species